rfam:Ovis aries breed Texel chromosome 3, whole genome shotgun sequence.
UCCCUUUUGUCUCAGCUGGUAAAGAAUCCGCCUGCAAUGCGGGUGACCUGGGUUCGAUCCAUGGAUUAGGAA